UUGCUUUAUAUUGAUGUGUUGUUGAUUAAAGGAGACGAAAUCGGAUCGUCCUCUCAGGCCGUCAAUUGUCGUUGAAAGAGGCCACCAACCGAAAAGACGCCCAAAAAACUCUCCGGCUCCUCUCGCAAAGCAAGAGUCGUUUUCUGAUCUGGAGUCGUCCCCCACUAGUCCAGACACCUCUGUGAUAUCCCGGGAGACACUCCAGGAAAUAGACGACUGCCUGAAGAAAAACAAGGACAGACAGGAGACUCCCCAACAGCCACUAUCCCCCACCGGCGACUUGUCCAAGAACCGCAGCCCCUUCCGCAGAGCUCGGCGACAGUUCAAGAACAUCAUGGGAGAUUUGAGGGAGUCCAAUAAGAGUUGCAAUGCUUAUCACCUAAUGCGCCAUAGACCAUCAUUGCGAUUCCUCCAUAGAGAGAAGUGUGAGUAAGACCCAAGUGUUCUGGGCAUGAAUU